AUGUGGCUGGAGACAUCACCUCCUGCAUCUAAUGCAGAGAGAGAAAAGAAGAGGGGAGGGGAACGGAGCCAACAGGGAGAGGAGGGAGAGAACAGGGAGGGGAGGGAGAGAACAGGGAGGGGAGGGAGAGAACAGGGAGGGGAGGGAGAGAACAGGGAGGGGAGGGAGAGUACAGGGAGAGUGGAAGGGAAGAGAGAGAACAGGGAGAGGGGAAGGGAAGAGAGAGAACAGGGAGAGGGGAAGGGAAGAGAGAGAUCAGGGAGAGGGGAAGGGAAGAGAGAGAACAGGGAGAGGGGAAGGGAAGAGAGAGAACAGGGAGAGGGGAAGGGAAGAGAGAGAACAGGGAGAGGGGAAGGGAAGAGAGAAAACAGGGGGAAGAGAGAGAACAGGGGGAAGGGAGAGAACAGGGAGCGGAGGGAGAGAACAGGGGGAAGGGAGAGAACAGGGAGGGAAGAGAGAGAACAGGGGGAAGGGAGAGAACAGGAAGGGGAGGGAGAGAACAGGGAGGGGAGGGAGAGAACAGGGAGGGGAGGGAGAGAACAGGGAGGGGAGGGAGAGAACAGUGAGGGGAGGGAGAGAACAGGGAGGGGAGGGAGAGAACAGGGGGAGGGAGAGAACAGGGAGGGGAGGGAGAGAACAGGGAGAGGGGAAGAGAGAGAACAGGGAGAGGGGAAGAGAGAGAACAGGGAGAAGGGAGAGAACAGGGGGAAGGGAGAGAACAGGGAGGGGAGGGAGAGAACAGGGAGGGGAGGGAGAGAACAGGGUGAAGGGAGAGAACAGGGGGAAGAGGGAGAGAACAGGGAGGGGAGGGAGAGAACAGGGAGGGGAGGGAGAGAACAGGGAGGGGAGAGAGAGAACAGUGAGGGGAGGGAGGGAACAGGGAGAGGGGAAGAGCGAGAACAGGGAGAGGGGAAGGGAAGAGAGAGAACAGGGGGAAGGGAGAGAACAGGGGGAAGGGAGAGAACAGGGAGCGGAGGGAGAGAACAGGGAGAGGGGAAGGGAAGAGAGAGAUCAGGGAGAGGGGAAGGGAAGAGAGAGAACAGGGAGAGGGGAAGGGAAGAGAGAGAACAGGGAGAGGGGAAGGGAAGAGAGAGAACAGGGAGAGGGGAAGGGAAGAGAGAGAACAGGGGGAAGAGAGAGAACAGGGGGAAGGGAGAGAACAGGGAGCGGAGGGAGAGAACAGGGGGAAGGGAGAGAACAGGGAGGGAAGAGAGAGAACAGGGGGAAGGGAGAGAACAGGGAGGGGAGGGAGAGAACAGGGAGGGGAGGGAGAGAACAGUGAGGGGAGGGAGAGAACAGGGAGGGGAGGGAGAGAACAGGGAGGGGAGGGAGAGAACAGGGAGAGGGGAAGAGAGAGAACAGGGAGAGGGGAAGAGAGAGAACAGGGAGAAGGGAGAGAACAGGGGGAAGGGAGAGAACAGGGAGGGGAGGGAGAGAACAGGGUGA
rnacentral:lncRNA from 1 species